rnacentral:rRNA from 1 species
AGCUCCAAUAGCGUAUAUUAAAGUUGUUGCAGUUAAAAAGCUCGUAGUUGGAUUUGGGACGGGGGUCGCGCGGUCGGCCGCAAGGUCUGCUACUGUGCGGCCUCGUCAUUUACACUCUCGGAGACCCGUCGUGCACUUCGCUGUGCGCGGCGCGGGACUCGGGACGUUUACUUUGAAAAAAUUAGAGUGUUCAAAGCAGGCUUCAUCAAGCCCGGAUACAUGAGCAUGGAAUAAUGGAAUAGGACCGCGGUUCUAUUUUGUUGGUUAUUGGAUGAAGUAAUGAUUAACAGAAACAGUUGGGGCAUCAGUACUUAAUAGUCAGAGGUGAAAUUCUUAGAUUUAUUAAAGACUAACUAAUGCGAAAGCAUUUGCCAAGGAUGUUUUCAUUAAUCAAGAACGA